AGUGAACGCUGGCGGUAGGCCUAACACAUGCAAGUCGAACGGCAGCACAGUAAGAGCUUGCUCUUACGGGUGGCGAGUGGCGGACGGGUGAGGAAUACAUCGGAAUCUACUUUUUCGUGGGGGAUAACGUAGGGAAACUUACGCUAAUACCGCAUACGACCUACGGGUGGAAGCAGGGGAUCUUCGGACCUUGCGCGAUUGAAUGAGCCGAUGUCGGAUUAGCUAGUUGGCGGGGUAAAGGCCCACCAAGGCGACGAUCCGUAGCUGGUCUGAGAGGAUGAUCAGCCACACUGGAACUGAGACACGGUCCAGACUCCUACGGGAGGCAGCAGUGGGGAAUAUUGGACAAUGGGCGCAAGCCUGAUCCAGCCAUACCGCGUGGGUGAAGAAGGCCUUCGGGUUGUAAAGCCCUUUUGUUGGGAAAGAAAGGCAGCAGGUUAAUACCCCGCUGUUCUGACGGUACCCAAAGAAUAAGCACCGGCUAACUUCGUG
rnacentral:rRNA from 1 species